AGUGAACGCUGGCGGUAGGCCUAACACAUGCAAGUCGAACGGCAGCACAGUAAGAGCUUGCUCUUACGGGUGGCGAGUGGCGGACGGGUGAGGAAUACAUCGGAAUCUACUUUUUCGUGGGGGAUAACGUAGGGAAACUUACGCUAAUACCGCAUACGACCUACGGGUGAAAGCAGGGGAUCUUCGGACCUUGCGCGAUUGAAUGAGCCGAUGUCGGAUUAGCUAGUUGGCGGGGUAAAGGCCCACCAAGGCGACGAUCCGUAGCUGGUCUGAGAGGAUGAUCAGCCACAAUGGAACUGAGACACGGUCCAGACUACGACGGGAGGCAGCAGUGGGGAAUAUGGGACAAUGGGCGCAAGCCUGAUCCAGCCAUACCGCGUGGGUGAAGAAGGCCGUCGGGUUGUAAAGCCCUUUUGUUGGGAAAGAAAAGCAGCAGGUUAAUACCCCGCUGUUCGGACGGUACCCAAAGAAUAAGCACCGGCUAACUUCG
rnacentral:rRNA from 1 species